rnacentral:rRNA from 1 species
UACGUAGGGUGCAAGCGUUGUCCGGAAUUAUUGGGCGUAAAGAGCUCGUAGGCGGUUUGUUGCGUCGGCUGUGAAAUCCCGAGGCUCAACCUCGGGUCUGCAGUCGAUACGAGCAAACUAGAGUGUUGCAGGGGAGACUGGAAUUCCUGGUGUAGCGGUGAAAUGCGUAGAUAUCAGGAGGAAUACCGGUGGUGUAGCCGGCUCUCUGGACCGCCACUGACGCUGAGACACGAAAGCGUGGGUAGCAAACAGG